GUUUCACCAAAGGCUUGGAUUUUCUUCAGGGCUUCCUCCUUCUCCCCCUUCAGCACUAGAUGGUGUUGGUAAUGGUGAAUUUGGAAUUAUCAGAAAUGCAAGGGCAAUGAAGCCAAUAGGUGAUGAUGUUGGAAUGCCCAAAAGAAAAGCUAAUGGGAGCCUAAUUUGAUGUUUUAUCCACUGUUAUAGCAUUGAUUGUUUGCAAUGCGGAUGCAUGGUUGCUGCUCAAGUUCAGGGAUUCAGAUGACAUGGCUCAAAGAUAUCCACAUAGUGCAAUUCCAAAAUUGUCCUGGUCUUCUGAACUUGGAUAGAGGAGGUUAUUCUGAAGUAAGUGUGGGAAAAAAAGCCCUGAAUAGAUCAAAGAAAUACAUAAGAUGUCGCAGGCAAGAUUUGUGAUGUUGUACAAGUGCUUGGGAAGGACGUGCUAUCAACAUCAGCGAUUGUGGCGACCUGUCCUGUGUGUCACAGGUACUGUUUCUACUCCUCCUUGAACCACAAUUCCGAGAAUAUUUCCUUACACCGUACUUCUUCUUCAAGUACGCCGAGAAAGCUGUUGCAGCAACGAACAAAGGGCUUAACUUUUCCGGCCACACGAUGGAGACAGGGGGGCUGUGUUCAAGAUCCGGCAGGCCAUCUGCCCAAGAGUGUCCUGAAGCCCACGACGCUACCCAAAUCCACCUUCAAGGUUGUGGCUGCUUAUUUCUGAUGGUAGAGAAGCAAGAGCAACUAGAGUUUGAAGUCGCCUUAUUCGCAACCACUGGCAAAUAGAAGCCUGCAUUCUCAGUUCCUCUUGUAGAUAUAUGUGUGCUGGAAACAAAGAGCAACCUGGGUGUCAUGUCCUUUUCCUCUGCUGUUGCAAACUUUUUUGUGUUGGAAACUGCACAUCUUUGUUGUU